UACGUAGGGUGCAAGCGUUGUUCGGAAUCGUUGGGCGUAAAGCGCGUGUAGGCGGUUAGUUAAGUCGAUUGUGAAAUCCCUGGGCUCAACCGAGGAAGUGCAGUCGAAACUGACUAGCUAGAGGACGGCAGAGGAAGGUGGAAUUCCAAGUGUAGAGGUGAAAUUCGUAGAUAUUUGGAGGAAUACCUGUGGCGAAGGCGGCCUUCUGGACCGGUCCUGACGCUGAGACGCGAAAGCGUGGGGAGCAAACAGG
rnacentral:rRNA from 1 species